UACGUAGGGGGCUAGCGUUGUCCGGAAUCAUUGGGCGUAAAGAGCUCGUAGGCGGUCUGUCACGUCGGCUGUGAAAACUCGGGGCUCAACCCCGAGCCUGCAGUCGAUACGGGCAGACUAGAGUCCGGCAGGGGAGACUGGAAUUCCUGGUGUAGCGGUGAAAUGCGCAGAUAUCAGGAGGAACACCGGUGGCGAAGGCGGGUCUCUGGGCCGGAACUGACGCUGAGGAGCGAAAGCGUGGGGAGCGAACAGG
rnacentral:rRNA from 1 species